rnacentral:rRNA from 1 species
AUCGAACGCUGGCGGCAGGCCUAACACAUGCAAGUCGAACGAGUGGCGGACGGGUGAGUAAUGUCUGGGAACCUGCCUGUUGGAGGGGGAUAACUACUGGAAACGGUAGCUAAUACCGCAUACCAUCAGAUUUGCCCAGAUUGGCUUUGUUAUUUGUGGGGGUAACGGCUAACCAAGGCGACGAUCCCUAGCUGGUCUGAGAGGAUGACCGGCCAAACGGGAACUGAGCCACGGUCCAGACUCCUACGGGAGGAAGAAGUGGGGAAUAUUGCACAAUGGGGGAAAGCCUGAUGCAGCAAUGCCGCGUGUAUGAAAAAGGCCUUCGGGUGGUAAAGUACGUUCAGCGGGGAGGCGUUAACCGAAGAAGAAGCACCGGCUAACUACGUGCCAGCAGCCGCGGUAAUUC